CGCGUAGGCGGCUUGGCAAGUCAAAGGUGAAAUCCCUUGGCUCAACUGAGGAACUGCCUUUGAAACUGUCUGGCUUGAGGCCGGGAGGGGGUAGCGGAAUUCCCAGUGUAGCGGUGAAAUGCGUAGAUAUUGGGAGGAACACCAGUGGCGAAGGCGGCUACCUGGACCGGUACUGACGCUGAUGCGCGAAAGCGUGGGUAGCAAACA
rnacentral:rRNA from 1 species